UAAGAGGUCCAGCCUGCCCAGUGACACCAGUUCAACGGCCGCGGUAUCCUGACCGUGCGAAGGUAGCGUAAUCACUUGUCUUCUAAAUUAAGACUAGUAUGAAGGGCACCACGAGAAUCAAACUGUCUCCUUUCUCUAAUCUGUGAAACUAAUCUCCCCGUGAAGAAGCGGGGAUUCUAAUAUAAGACGAGAAGACCCUGUGGAGCUUAAGACAAAAGUACUAUUGCCCCAAACAUCUUAGUAUUAAGUCUUAGGUUGGGGCGACCACGGAGUAAAAACUACCCUCCAUGCUGAACGGAACCUCCUUAAACAAGAGCCACAGCUCUAUGAAUCAACAAAUUGACACACUUGACCCAAUUAAUUGAUCAACGAAACAAGUUACCCCAGG
rnacentral:rRNA from 1 species